rnacentral:rRNA from 1 species
GUGCCAGCAGCCGCGGUAAGACGAACCGUGCGAACGUUGUUCGGAAUCACUGGGCUUAAAGGGCGCGUAGGCGGGCAAGCAAGUCCGGGGUGAAAGCCCCCAGCUCAACUGGGGAAGUGCCUUGGAAACUGCUUGUCUAGAGGGAGGUAGGGGCAUGUGGAACUUCGGGUGGAGCGGUGAAAUGCGUUGAUAUCCGAAGGAACGCCGGUGGCGAAGGCGACGUGCUGGAUCUCUUCUGACGCUGAGGCGCGAAAGCUAGGGUAGCGAACGGGAUUAGAUACCCCGGUAGUCC